CAAUAGCGUAUAUUAAAGUUGUUGCAGUUAAAAAGCUCGUAGUUGGAUUUCGGGACGGGCCAGUUGGUCCGCCGCAAGGUGUGUUACUGACUGGUCUGUUCUUCUUCGCAAAGACUGCGUGUGCUCUUCGUUGAGUGUGCGUAGGAUUUACGACGUUUACUUUGAAAAAAUUAGAGUGUUCAAAGCAGGCUAUCGCUUGAAUACAUGAGCAUGGAAUAAUGGAAUAGGACUUUGGUCCUAUUUUGUUGGUUUCUAGGACCGAAGUAAUGAUUAAGAGGGACAAUUGGGGGCAUCCGUAUUUCGUUGUCAGAGGUGAAAUUCUUGGAUUUACGAAAGACGGACAACUGCGAAAGCACUUGCCAAGAGUGUUUUCAUUAA
rnacentral:rRNA from 1 species